rnacentral:lncRNA from 1 species
AAAAAAAAAGUGUCGUGUGUCCUAGUAUUUGUUUUGCACUUGGUUAAUUGUCCUUUAAAGUGCAGUUAUUAAUAAUUAUACGAUGGGAUUCAAAUGAUGAAGUGGUCUCGUUUGCAUAGAGUUGUGUCUGUAACCUGUAACUUUUCAAAUGAAAAGCUACUUAUGUUUCAACAAGAGGUGUAAUGAGUUUUAUAUACACCAAACACCUUCACCGACUUUAAAAAAUAAAAAAUAAAAAAAAGAGUUCAUACCCGUGAAAAACAAAGAGUAUUCCCCAGUACUCUAUUGUUAAAUUCUUCCUAAUUUUGUCUUGAGAGUACAAAUAUAUAAUUGGUUUGUCAAAGUCUUAAAAUGAAGUAUUUCAAUUUAGGAUUUUCGAUUAAUGAAUAAUGAGAGAUGGACG